CUAUGUUAACGGUUAGCACAUAUUAGUAGAAAAAAGCAUUUAUGUAGAGAUAAAGCAAAAUAAAAGUGCUUACCCAAAAAUGUUAUCAAAGUUAGAUAUUCCUUUAUCUGGACAACACUAGUCUAAAAAACAUUUCAGUUUUGCAUAUAAGCAACAAAAUUGUAUACAGUAUGUUUUGCAAUGAUCUUUUGACACAAUGUCUUAUGUUUCACCAGCUAUUAUUUACCUGUUGAGGAUAUACAAAUGGAAAUGCGUUGGAUACGGCUGAAAUUAAUGAACCAAAAAGCGUGCCACACACUCAGCAGUCAUCUAGUAGGCAGAACUGAUCAGAACAGGCACAGCGAUUCAACACACAGAGUUGACAGCUUGAGUCAGGUUGGCAUGUGGGAGACCCGACUGUGAAAUAAGUUCAACAGCAAGAUUAACAGAGAUAUACCGGCAGGUGGGGAAGAAGACAUAAAUACUGAGAGGAAGACAAAGAGGGUGAACCUUCCUUGUCUUCCUGCAAGGCAGUGACACCAGCUAUCUGAGAGGUUUAAUUUUAACUGAGG